rnacentral:lncRNA from 1 species
GCCCACUACUGGAACCAGUUGUUUGGCAGACUAUAGUUCUUCACCAACUCACGGAAGGCUGCCCUCUGAAUGUUUACACGAGCCUAUGCCUUACCAAUAGGUGAAAGAAUCUCUCUCAGUGUGGUAUGAUCACGUGGGAUUCCAGCGUGAGGAACGUGCUAGUUAGGAAAGUCCCAUAAGACUUGUGUCACUGCUGCACAUGUCAUGGAUCAUGGGAAAUCAUGCUUAUUGCCUUCUUUCAUGAAAAGGUCCUCUGACUCCCGUGGCACCAUCCAUUCCACGCCAUCCCCCGGACCAAAUGCUAGCAAUAAAUAAUGCUUCUUUCCCCUUUAGUAAUUUUUCCUGGUUUUUACUCUUAUCUCAAGAGAAAAAUCAUGAGGUUUUUAAAAGUGGAUUUUAGCAAAGUGUUGCCUGAUAAUGUGCUUCUUCAUUUACAAUACCAAUAGCUGGGGGUAGGAACUGGC